rnacentral:rRNA from 1 species
AACGAACGCUGGCGGCAGGCUUAACACAUGCAAGUCGAACGCCCCGCAAGGGGAGUGGCAGACGGGUGAGUAACGCGUGGGAAUCUACCUAGUUCUACGGAACAACACAGGGAAACUUGUGCUAAUACCGUAUACGCCCUACGGGGGAAAGAUUUAUCGGAAUUAGAUGAGCCCGCGUAAGAUUAGCUAGUUGGUGGGGUAAUGGCCUACCAAGGCGACGAUCUUUAGCUGGUCUGAGAGGAUGAUCAGCCAAACUGGGACUGAGACACGGCCCAGACUCCUACGGGAGGCAGCAGUGGGGAAUAUUGGACAAUGGGCGCAAGCCUGAUCCAGCCAUGCCGCGUGGGUGAUGAAGGCCUUAGGGUUGUAAAGCUCUUUCAGUGGGGAAGAUAAUGACGGUACCCACAGAAGAAGCCCCGGCUAACUUCGUGCCAGCCGCCGCCGUAA